rnacentral:rRNA from 1 species
CAUGCCGUAAACGUUGGGCGCUAGGUGUGGGACUCAUUCCACGAGUUCCGUGCCGCAGCUAACGCAUUAAGCGCCCCGCCUGGGGAGUACGGCCGCAAGGCUAAAACUCAAAGGAAUUGA